ACUGGGGUACAACAAGAUGAGCAUGUAAAAAUAUGUAUGAAUGUCAUGACAAUAAUAUCUCAACCAUAUAGCAGCAUUUAUCACAUUUCAUAUCACAAUAUCGAAUACUUGGCAAUAUAAGCUUAAAAGUGAAGUAACUACGCAUUUAGGGAAACUAUCAAUAUGUAUAGGUAUAAAAUAAACUGCCCACUCACAAAUACUUCGCCGCUGACGAGCCACGCAACCUAGCAAAGAUGGAAACGCCACUAAUAAUUGCCCCUAAGCACAUAAAGGUACAAUUAAUAAAACUAUAUUAUAACAAUUGAAUUUGGAAAAACAGACAUAAAAAACGAAUUCAGAACGUCGAAUUACCCUAAGAAGGGUCCUGCUUAAAUUUUUGAAAAGUCAACAAAAGUCAACAUGAUGAAUAUUCCCUAAAGGACGAAAUAUUCUCAUACGGAUGGGAUAUUCCCUAACGGAAUAUUUCAUUUGGGUUAAGGGUUAUUAGGUUGGGUUAGUUUAAUAGGUUGGACUUAAGGGUUCUAGGCCUAAAGGCCUAAACUAAAAGGGUUAAGGGUUAUUAGGUUGGGUUAGUUUAAUAGGUUGGACUUAAGGGUUCUAGGCCUAAAGGCCUAAACUAAAAGGGUUUAGGGCUUUAGGGAUUGGGUUUGGGGUUUAGGCCUUCAAUUUAACAAAUAACAUAAAAACAAAAGAAUUAAAAAGGUUAAGGGUUUGU
rnacentral:lncRNA from 1 species